rnacentral:rRNA from 1 species
GACGGAGGAGGCAAGCGUUAUCCGGAAUUAUUGGGCGUAAAGCGUCCGUAGGUGGUUAAUCAAGUCUUUUGUUAAAGAGUAGAGCUUAACUCUAUAGAGGCGGAAGAAACUGAAUAACUGGAGUGUGGUAGGGGUAGAGGGAAUUCCCGGUGUAGCGGUGAAAUGCGUAGAUAUCGGGAAGAACACCAGUGGCGAAGGCGCUCUACUGGGCCACAACUGACACUGAGGUGCGAAAGCGUGGGGAGCAAACAGG